rnacentral:misc_RNA from 1 species
GAUGAAGAACGUAGCGAAAUGCGAAAAGUAAUGUGAAUUGCAGAAUUCAGUGAAUCAUCGAAUCUUUGAACGCACCUUGCACCCUUUGGCAUUCCGAAGGGUAUGCUCGUUUGAGUGUCAUUGUACUCUCACACUUCCGAUCUUUGGAUUGGGAGCGGUGGACUUGGGUGUUGCUGCUUACUGUGGCUCACCUCAAAUCGAUUCGUGCGCCUCUUGGUUGGACAUAGUACGGCGUGAUAAGUGUCUUCGCCGGCACCUCAGUAGAGGGUGGCUGAUCGGGAGCUCUGCUUCAAACCGUCCUCGGACAACAACUGACAACUUGACCUCAAAUCGAGUAGGACUACCCGCUGAACUUAAGCAUAUCAAUAAGCGGAGGA